GCUGGUGGUUAUAGCAGGGAGGCUCCACCUCUUCCCAUUCCGAACAGAGCAGUUAAGCUCCCUAGCGCCGAUGGUACUACGAAAGUGGGAGAGUAGGUCGCUGCCAGCU
rfam:Saprospiraceae bacterium KD52 Scaffold9_1, whole genome shotgun sequence.